CCUACGGGAGGCAGCAGUGGGGAAUUUUCCGCAAUGGGCGAAAGCCUGACGGAGCAACGCCGCGUGAGGGAUGAAGGCCUCUGGGCUGUAAACCUCUUUUAUCAAGGAAGAAGAUCUGACGGUACUUGAUGAAUAAGCCACGGCUAAUUCCGUGCCAGCAGCCGCGGUAAUACGGGAGUGGCAAGCGUUAUCCGGAAUUAUUGGGCGUAAAGCGUCCGCAGGCGGUCUUGUAAGUCUGUCGUUAAAGCGUGGAGCUCAACUCCAUUUCGGCGGUGGAAACUACAAGACUAGAGUGUGGUAGGGGCAGAGGGAAUUCCCGGUGUAGCGGUGAAAUGCGCAGAUAUCGGGAAGAACACCAGUGGCGAAGGCGCUCUGCUGGGCCAUAACUGACGCUCAUGGACGAAAGCUAGGGGAGCGAAAGGGAUUAGAUACCCCUGUAGUCCUAGCCGUAAACGAUGAACACUAGGUNUCGGGGGAAUCGACCCCCUCGGUGUCGUAGCUAACGCGUUAAGUGUUCCGCCUGGGGAGUACGCACGCAAGUGUGAAACUCAAGGAAUUGACGGCUGNGAGNGCGAGCGACGACGAGGAGAG
rnacentral:rRNA from 1 species